rnacentral:lncRNA from 1 species
GUCAUUUUAUGAUUUAAUGAUAGGAUAAUCAAAUGACCAUUUCCAGUAAGGUUCACAAAUGCCAGCAUGACCCAGCAGCAGUCUGGACCAAGUUUAAUCCUCAAAGCACUCCUCAGAAGCAGCAGGCAGCCUGCAUUCUGCUCUGGCCCUUCCCUACCCAUCUCCUGCCUUCCCUACCCUUCCUUCUGCCAGGAAGCCUCUCCUACCGCAUCUUCCAGACUCACUCCCUCAUCUUCUCCAGCUUUGCUUAAAAGUCAUCUUCUUAAAGAGGCUUCUCAGCCUAUUAAAAAUUAUAACCCACUCUCUCUCCUUGAUAUCCAUGACCCUGCUUUAUUGUUUCCAUAGCACUCACCACCUUAUAACCUUCUGUAAUAUCUCCUUUUUGCUCUUAUUUUCAUUGUCUGCUCCCAUACUGCAGUGUAGAUUUUCCCCAGAGUGGGAAUUUUGGUCUUUUUGUUCACAGAGGUACCUCAAGAAUUUAAGACGUAUCUGGCAUAAAAUAAGCGUUUAACAUAUAUUACUUAAAUUUUUAAAAAUUGAAUGAAAUGGAGUAUGAUAUAUUCUGAGCAAAAAGAUGAACCUAAAACUAAAAUGCCUUUCUGUUCCUUCAGGUGGGGGGAAAUUUUAAACAUAAGCAACUAACACAGAAUCUUAGUAAAGUUUCCAAGAACCUAAAAUUUUUCUCUUGUCAUAUAAUUAUAGGAAUAAAAAGCCUUUCCAAAGCAUCCUUCUUACUCAAGCAUCUUCCAACUCAGCAAUUCCAGAAACAUUGAAACAUUCUUAACAUUCCACAUAAAUCCCUUGUUACACAGGUUUUCAACAGGGAAUUAUAACAAAAUCAACUGCACCAAUAUUUUUAACCCCUAACUCCAAAUAAUGUCUUGUGAGAAUUAGAAACGGCAUAUUAAAAAGACUCAGAAUAUUAUAGAUAUUUGAAUUUAAAAAACAUUAUCACAAUGGCUUACAGAAUUAGAAAAAAACAAUCAGUGACUCUCCACUGAAGAAGAAGUGGGAAAAUGAGACUUCUUUAACAUAAUCUGCCAAUUCGCAACUGUUGGUAUGCUACCUAGACCAGUAACUCCUGGGGGAAGGAAAGGUGACUAAAAAGCUAAAUUCGCUAAAUGAAUGCAAAAAAUAAUUUGAGUGUAAAUGCAAAAAAUAGCUUAGAAAUGCUAAGAUCUGUCCUAGAUUUUGGGGUUUAGAGUCUUGGGCAAAUAAGACAUGAUUCUACCUUCAUGAAGCUUACAAUUUUGAAAGAAAACCUGUCUCUAUAAAAUUACUUUUACACAAUCACACAGAUUAAUCCCAAGAGGGAGGGAACACUGGUGUAUUCAAAUGUAAACUAUCUGAGGCUAUUAAGAAUCUUAAUUAAAAUGGAGCAUACUAAGCCUGCAAGAAAAAAAAAAUUAUGAAACAGGAGAAUGCUUUGAUGUGAAUGUUGUCCUUCUUAUGUCAAAAUAGUGAUCGCUGGUUUUACAAAAUAUCUGUGAUGAAAGAGUGAGAUCUUGGCUCAUCGUCUGCAUCCACCAGGGAGCAGCAUUCAAGUGUCAGCCUUUCCUUUCUGUACUAAUCACUCAAGAAUAGUGAGUCACCCAAGGACCAGUGCUGGUUACCAAAAUGAAUAUAUUUUGUUCUGUAGUUUCCUGUCCCAGGGGCAAAAAUACAAAACAAAACAAAACGAAAAAUGGAACAACGUACAGCACAAAAUAUUCAACUCAAGGCAUUAUGCCAGGAAAGCAAUAGAAAGUUUUCUACUUGAGCCAAAGGCCUCUUGGUUUCUUUUAAAAAUUUAAAUCGUGACAAUUAUCUUGAUGUUCCUUGAUGAAUCAGAUCUGUCUAAGGAACAAAAGCUUGCUCAGGAGUUCUGUGUACUUUGAGGAAUAAUUAUUUCCUAAGCUUAUUCACUUUUUUAAGAAAGCAGCUUACAGACACAUUUAGAAGCUAGCGUGCUUGAGUGAAAACAUUUGUAAUCAGUCAACCUACAGAGGCAUUUAGCUUGAACCAUCAAUUGAAAAAGAAAAAGGAUUCUGAGAGGAAAAGGAACUUAGAAACACAUCCCAUCCAAAAAAAAAAAAUUUAUAAUGUUCUUACAUUUCUCUUCCAACCUUGUGGUCUAAAUUGCUGCCAAAAUUUUCAAGGUCAUCACUAUUUUAUAGAACUCAUAUUUAACACCACCAAUGAAUGACAUUCAAAUCUCUCCAAUGGCUAUUUUAUUCCUUCCCUUUUGAUGUAACUAUAUUAGUAAAUAGCACAUAAUACACUAAUAAAACUAGUUUAAUAAUCAUACAUAUAAAUAUAGCCAUUCUUUUUUCCCAUAUAGGUUAUUACAAACUAUUGAGUAGAUUUUCUUGUGCUAUUGAGCAGGUUCUCAUUAAUCACCUAUUUUGUACAGUAGUGUAUAUGUUAUUCCCACCCUCCCAAUUCUUCCUCCCCCCAAUGGGUUCACCUAUGAUAACCAUAAGAUUAGUUUUGAAAUCUGUGAGUUGGCCUCUGUUUUCCGGGGAAGGUUUGGUUGUUUUGUUCUUUUUUCUUUUUUGGGUGCACCUGUGGCAUAUGCAAGUUCCAGAGUCAGGGAUCAAACUCAAGCCGGAGCAACACUAUAUGCCAUAGCUGCAGCAACCUUAACCCACUAUGCCAGGCUGGGGCUCAGACCUGUGCCUCCACAGAGACAAGCUGGAUCAUUAACCCACUGUGCCACAGUGGGAACUCCUCAGUUUUUUAAUUAAGUUCUUUUGCAUCUUUUUUAUCAGGUUCCACAUGUAAGUGAUAUUACUGGGACUUCUUAAAGCUUAGGUCUAGCGCUAAUAUUAGCGUCAUCUCCACUGAUUCUGUCAGCUAAUAUCUCAGACCAAACCCACAUUCAGAAGGAAGACCCCACACCAAGAUGUAAAUACUGGGAGGAAAAGUUUAUUGGAGCUCCCCAAUGUAAUGACCAUAAGGGCAAUUUAUAUUCCACCUUUCAAACUUAUACUGUAUUUCUUUAGGGCCAUGGAAGAGGCAAGAAUUUAAAAAAAAAAAAAAAGUUUUCAGGUAAAGUAAUUGAAAGGGAGGUACUAGAUGAGACUUGUAGAAGGGGUAGAAGGUAAGAGAAAUGUAAUCAACCCCAAAAUAGCCUAACUGAACAAAACUGUUGUAAAAAUUGUGCCUUAAUAUAUUGCAGGGUUGUUUUUUUUUUAAUCGUUAAACUAGCUUAUUGGAAAAUAAGGAGUUGCCUAUAGAAGCUUCGUCAGCCACUGCGUAUUACGUAUUACAUAAUCCUCGAGAAGAUGAACAAAGAGAAUGACACACAAGGUCAUUACAGGAGUGUAUACACUACACCCUCACCAGGAAUCAGGAUGAUGGUCAGGCUAACAAGCAGGGUCAUUACACAGACAAUAGCAGGCAGUGGCUCAACCUCUACAUCCCAAGCUCCACACAGACCACUACAGCCUGGCGUGGGUUCUGUUAAGUUUCUUCUGGGCCCUCACUGGAAAGGGACUAGGGAAUACCCUCGUUCUACAGGCCAUUUUUAUGCAGCAGCUUUACUUCCUCAAAUCAAUGAAGCCAUUGAAACUCUAUGGAUCUUCCAUUAAUGAGACUUAUAUAUGAUAUAGAUCUUUAUUUCCUUCCAUAAGGCCACUGGAAGAAACCACAGAAUUCUGAGAGGUUUUGGGUGGGUCUUGCUUGAUAAGAACAAGUUAGGUUUAUUUGUUAAUUGCUUUGGAUUGCCUCAUAUUUUGAUAGCAUUCCACAAAACUUGUUUGUAAGCCUUAACUACACAUGCCUACCAACUUAAUGUCAUAUUUAAUAUUUUCAAAGAAAAAAAUCAUAUAAAUUAAAACUGACAUUUAUUGGCAUUUCCUUAGUUUUUUUCUGAAGGUCGACUGGUCUUUUUAUUAUUUAAAUUUGGGAGGCCAUCUUAGAAAAAGAAGAGAAAAAGUUAAGUCAUUGAAUAGCACAAAUAAUACUAUUUGAAGAAACUCACAAAAGAUGUUUUCCCAAAUUGAACAUAUGGAGCAUAAUAUGUUAUGACAUUAGUUUUCCUUUUUAUUUCUAAACAUCUACUAAAAUGACUUUAUUUCUGCAAUAUGCAAGAUCCUUUCAUCAAGCCAAAUGGUCGAAUUAGCAUUUACAUCAUUUUAAAUUAUGACACCAAGUUAACAAAAUAGAAGCGCUAAAGUAGAAACAAUAAAACAUUAACACUCACAUCACCUAAACCUUGUCUUCUCUUUCUGGAUGCUGCAGCUUCUUUAGAUGAAACCCGAAUGGAUUUUCAAGGAGGAGAAAGAGCAAUACCAUGGUUCUGUAAAAUAACUGUAAAUUCAUCUCAAGAAUCUUCUAACAAAGUCCCAUAAAUGCUUGACAGGAAUCUCUGUCAUUAUAUUCACCACUGACAAAGUACUUAACAUAAGCAAACUUCCUGUUAAGUCAGUAGGAGAUGCUGAUCCACAAUCACAGUAGGUAUCAGAUGCCUUGGGGCCACUGAGCAAAAACUGAGAUGGACAGAGAAACUCAUGCUUUGCUCCUAGGAUGUCAUCCCAUAGACAGGAUUAGAGUGAAUAAGAAUAUGUAUAAAAUCAUUUAAAAUUUUUCUGGGGGUGUUAAAAGGUUUUAACCAAAUUUAAAGUUACACAAUAAGUAUACUCAAUGUCAUCACCACCUCUUCACGCUUCAUAUUAACAAGACAGAAGAGUAGUACCCAGUGAUAGUCAUGUGGUGGUCGAUAGUCGUU